rnacentral:rRNA from 1 species
UACAGAGGUGGCUAGCGUUGUUCGGAAUUACUGGGCGUAAAGGGCUCGUAGGCGGCCAACUAAGUCUGACGUGAAAUCCCAAGGCUUAACCUUGGAACUGCGUCGGAUACUGGAUGGCUUGAAUUCGGGAGAGGGAUGCAGAAUUCCAGGUGUAGCGGUGAAAUGCGUAGAUAUCUGGAGGAAUACCGGUGGCGAAGGCGGCAUCCUGGACCGACAUUGACGCUGAGGAGCGAAAGCUAGGGGAGCAAACGGG